rnacentral:rRNA from 1 species
CGGAUCUCUUAAAGCCGUUCUCAGUUCGGACUGUAGGCUGCAACUCGCCUACACGAAGCUGGAAUCGCUAGUAAUCGCGGAUCAGCACGCCGCGGUGAAUACGUUCCCGGGCCUUGUACACACCGCCCGUCACACCAUGAGAGUCUGUAACACCCAAAGCCGGUGGGAUAACCUUUAUAGGAGUCAGCCGUCUAAGGUAGGACAGAUGAUUAGGGUGAAGUCGUAACAAGGUAAC